AGUGAAUAGAUACCCGGGUAGUCCACGCUGUAAACGAUGAGUGCUGGACGUUGGCGGGUUUACCUGCCGGUGUCGCAGCUAAACGCGUUAAGCACUCCGCCUGGGGAGUACGGCCGCAAGGUUAAAACUCAAAGGAAUUGACGGGGCCCGCACAAGCGGUGGAGCAUGUGGUUUAAUUCGACGCAACGCGCAGAACCUUACCAGCCCUUGACAUGGGCGGACGGGGUCCAGAGAUGGACUCUUUCUCGCAAGAGACCGCUACACAGGUGCUGCAUGGCUGUCGUCAGCUCGUGUCGUGAGAUGUUGGGUUAAGUCCCGCAACGAGCGCAACCCUCGUCUCCAGUUGCCAUCGGGUAGAGCCGGGCAC
rnacentral:rRNA from 1 species